UAGUAAAAAUUGACGUUUUAC
rnacentral:piRNA from 1 species